UCUGCAAGCAAGAAAAACACACACAGUUAGGCACUGAUGUUGCAGAAUUGUGCAAUUCAUAGCUGGUAUUUAAAUAUAGGCCGAUACCCGAAAUUCAGGAGAUCGCAAGGUAUUCUUAUAAGUGAACCAUAAAGAAAAAGGAAUAAAUAAGAUAGUUGCUGAUCCUACGCGUUGUGGGAAUCUAAGCAACGCCGUUCUCGUUUGACCCUGACUGAUAGGUCAGAAUGGCUCGGGUUAAUGACCGAUUUGGAAUAAAAACAGAUAAGUUUUACGUUAUACCGGCCUUAUUGAGCACACGACCAAUAUAUACACAUUUUCACAGAAAAACGCCUAGCCCAACACAAAGUUGUGGCGCUCGAACAUGUGGAUCUCACGGAUGAGGAUGGAAUUACGAAGACGCUUUAACGAGGAUGGAAUGGACGGCGUAACGACGAGAGAACGACAACGAAUGAACGCCCCAUGACCGCAAGGCGACUGUGCGAUAAUGACGCCCUGUCAAACGUAGCUGGACAUCGGCACUCGACUAAAUGGCCUAGGUAAGUGACAAGACCUAGUGCACCAAGUAAUCUGUACUUGCAACAGUUUAUUAACGACUAUAAGGUGCAACAUGGGAGGCGUACGUCGCUACACGACUUGGGCGUGCUGCGACUACGCUGGAACAUCUUGGGAAAGUCUCGCCGUUACAUCAAUUACGCUUUUCGGGCCAUGAAGCAGGCGAUUUCUCGAUUUGCUGACGAAAUCCUUCGCAAGCGCAAUCGGCACAGCCGUCUUGCGAGAGCUACGGCUUAAACUGUGCGAAAUUCAGUGUAGUGCGACAAAAUUGCACAAUUAAAAGAAUUGAACAUUUCCGGUACGAAGAAUAAAAAAACGAAAACGAUGCGCGUAUAGUGUGUGUUAGUGUCAGGUCUGAAUUCACCCGAACAAUGGAAAAAAAAAAAAAAAACGGCUGUAAGGAGCAAACAUCGAACGCUUUGUAAGGAAAUCGCAUUGAGCUAGCACAUUCAGGUGCCCUAGCAGAAAUAUUCAGCACCCCAUUAUUUUUGUACACCAAAAUGGACGCGCGAGUCGACGCGCGAGUAUCAAAUUGCCUUGUAUACUGGAAUUAUUCGUUUAAAAGAGGCACCCAAUAUUCCAUUUUCUGGCAGUUCGCCUCCAGCUGCAGUUUUCGACACAAGUAUGUGUAACUGUGCUUACACGUAAAAUUUUCAGACAACGGCAUAGAUGCCUCUUUGAAACGAAUAAUUAUGGUAUAAAAGACAACGCCACUGCCGGUAUGUUGGAUAAACCGAGCAAAAAGAGUAGGCUGACAUACUCAAGGAACAUUUAGAGCUCCUUCACAGCAGGGGUGCGUAAGCUAAGCUAAAUUCGCGACCGGAGAUUGACCGAAAAGUUUAUUUCAGCUGUUGCACCGAUCGCAAGCAAUAACGGCCAAAGCGCAAACCUUUCACAGCAGAACAAAAAGCAGCGCCUAGAAUUAAAAAAAAAAAAAAAAAAGAAACUGCAUCCGAAUGCAUGAAGUUUUAUUCAGAGCAGCCGGCAAUCCUGAUAGUGCACGUCAAGACACGCCGCUUAAAGCGCAAGGCAACGACCGUCUGCAGCUAGAGCAUCCGCGGGCGCGCAAAGAGAAAUACCAGUCGGCUUCGUCAUGCGAAACGCCUUUCCGUGCGACGUGACACAUAUGACGGAAAACGAACAAAAAGGUACGUUCCUGCCAAAGACGAACGGAUGCAGCAGCUAUCGAGCGUUAAUUUCCGACGCACUGCGUUAAAAACGCCGACCGUCUGCAAACACGGAACCUACAUUAAAAAAAAAAAGCAAAUUUUUUUUAUAGAAAAUAAACGAAAAGGGAGAGGAGGUACGAAACGAAAGCUUAGCAGAAUGUGUGUGAAGCGAGCACUCGAGCAGCAAGCAUUCAUCCAAAAAAGCGAACCGUCCCAUCCCCGGCCCGGCGUAAUGCGGCGCAACGGCAACCGCGACAGGCGCGCCGCCGCAGCGACCAAUGGCGAGUCGGCAGCCGCUGUUGCUAUGGCUGGCGCCACGCAAAGGCUGGCGAGAGAAACCUGAAUUCAAAAGGCCGGCGCCGGCACAAUAGUGGCGGCACACAGGAGAGCCGGCGAAAAAAAAAGGAGGGGGGGGGGGGGGGGGAUAUAAUAACGAUAAAAGCCAGAAUCCGGCACUACCACCGGCCUGGGCCACCUCUGACGUUUGGACCGAAAAGAUUUUCGCUCCAUCGUCGGACCGAUGGAAGAAAAAAAAAAAAGAUGCAAACAUCCUCCGAGUCUCGUGGACCGCGAACAAGAGCCGGAAAAAAAGCAAAAGCCUCUGUGUUGCGAUGUCCAGCGCGUCCUUUUCUC
rnacentral:lncRNA from 1 species